UAAUUAUAAAUAUUUAAUUAUUUAUUGCUGCUUGUUUUUAGAUCCCAACGAAGCUAUUAUUAUGGGACGACCUUCCGAGAAAUGCUAUGGGAAAGGUGAAUAAGAAAGAGCUCAAAAGAUUGCUUGAGAAUUGAUUUGCUUUCCUUAGAAGGAAGUUGCAGUUGGAUGGCUUUCAAUUUUUAGGUGAGAAUUGGUAUCUCAUAGAUUGUGGCUCUUCAAUGUAGGGGUGUCAAUAUUUGACACGACAGAAAAUCCGACCCGGACCCGAUCCGAUUUCAAAAUGGGUCGGGUUCGGGUUGACCCGCUCACUACCGCCGUUCUGGCCUCGGCAGAACCCAAAACCGGGUCGUGUCGGGUCGGGUCCGGGUUCGGAUUUCCGACCCGUUUGUCUACCCGGGUCGGGUUAGGGUCGACCCGUUUGAACCCAGGUCAGUUUCGGGUUCGACCCGAACCCGAUCCGUGACCCGAAAUUGACACCCCUACUUCAAUGUAUGUGGUUCUACAAGUUUAUGCACGUAAAGAAAUAAAUUGUAAUAAUGUACUUGUAGGUUAUUAUUUAAUUUCAUAAAUAGUUUCUCU